UCCGGCGGCCAUAGCGAGAGGGUAACACCUGUUCCCAUUCCGAACACAGAAGUUAAGCCUCUCAGCGUCGAUGGUACUGCUUGGGCGACCUUGUGGGAGAGUAGAACGCUGCCGGGA
rnacentral:rRNA from 2 species